rnacentral:lncRNA from 1 species
GGAAGAACAUAUAAUAUUGAAGCGAUGACAAACGAGGAUGGUCUCGGUCAAAUAUACAAAGGAUGAUCUUCGGCCACUUGAGGAAGCAAAAAUUGAUGAAUUAUGUUGCUGAGACUGAGGUAGAGAAGGCUGCUAUAGUGGAUGGAGCCAGGGGGAAACAUGAUCACUGAAUGUGGUAAGCAUUCGUUCUGUCAAUCAAAACUUUUAGGGUGCUUUAUGUUGUAUUCCAUUGCAUGAUCUAUUCUUUUUUUAGCGCUUUAGUUUUGUCAUUCGUAUAUGAAUUUUGUUGCUUUCUUGAUGACAUGUAAGCUGUUUUUUCUGUUCUUCCGGCGCUUGAAUUGGUACAAAUUGUUACUGCAAGCCUUACGUAUCAGCCUGACAAAUCAUCAUUUUUGCUGUUUGGGUUAAUUAGUACUAGCUGAUCAUGCAGUUGCCUUUUUUGGGUAUGUCACCUUACUCUUGUUAAAGGUAAUUUCGUCUAGAAUUUAUGCAGGUGCUUUCAACCUGUCAUCAUUUCCACACUCGAGAAUCAUCACACGGGAUGCCAACAAUAUUGUGUGUCUAUUGUUUGUUUUCUAAUCUGGCUAGCAUGAUCCAUAUGAAAACCCAAAUGAGAACACCGGCAAGAGCACCAUAUGCAAAUUCAUUUAUUAACUAGUUAAUGAGAUUUUGGAAGUAGUCAACCUGCUACCCCUAAUAUGCUUGGUUAGGCGUAUGUGGCUUCAUCAUCAUUUGCCUUGAAUUUUAUUUGCCGUAAAAAUGAUGGUGAAAAGGACAUGUUAAUAAACAUGCGGCAACUAAUUAUUCUGAAAACUUGUGGAUGAAACUCGUGAUACACCACGACAAUUAUUUGUUUUUUGGGUUUGGUUGUUGUUUGGAUUGAUGCCAAUUUCAUAGCACACCAAUGCCUUUUUGUCCGCUACAGUUCAUGUUUUUGGACGAUUAUUAGUCAACCCCUAAAGCUUGAGACCCAGAAUUUUGUGUCAAAUACUUUUUGUUUUGGGAAAUGAUCACACAAGCCUGAAGGCUACACUUUGACCAUCAUUUUUUAGGUACGAACAAGAGGAGUGAUGGUGUUUACGGUUGGCAUAAGUGGUUAGCUAUUCAAAAAACAAUCAACAACAAAACUAGAGAAUAGCAGUAGUGUGAUGAAGGGAGCAACUCCACCCCACAUGACGAAGUUGGCUACGCGGCUUUUCAAUAUUUGUGUAGUUAAUAUAUGAACUCCCCUGAUUUAUAGAAAUUUUACUAAACCUUAUGCAGCCAUGUUCACACCAGUUAGCUAGGUUGGUCGACCGUGUUUUAUAGGCCGAAGGGCGUCGCCACAAAAUCAAGGAUAUAUAUGCACUUACUUGAGCUGACUGACUGACUGCUACACAAUAUAUGUGUUGAUAUGAUGGCGACACAAUACGGUAUAACAUUAUCACUCCGACUAACUCACUUAUCACUAUGCACACUCACUCGCUUUCUUUUUCUAGAAAUAGGUAGGUGCACAAACGAAUCACUUCACUACCAUCCACAUGCAAUUUGGGAAAACUUCCUCUGCGCAAGAUGUAAAUCUUAAAGUGUUACUAUUAUACGAGGGCCGAGUUGAUGACCAUAUGUAGGAUUCAUGGAUUAGGAGGCAACGAGGAAGUAGGCCAUAGCGGAACACCACCAGUAGGCGUUGGAGGCCAGGGCUACCUCGUAUGACCGUCCGGAGAGCACGGGAGAGCCGAGACCCAGGAUGAUUCAAAGGAGAAAUGGUGGAGAGGCCAAUGUUGAUGCACCGUUGCAGCGUUUAUGCUCCUUUUUUCUUGACCGUGGCUGCGGUGUUGCCAUUGAUUUCUUCCAUCGCUGCUGCGUGAGGAAGAGAUGGAAGAAGAAAAAAGGCGCUUUUUUGCCCAAUGAAGUGGACGGAUCUCAUCGCUUACCUUGAGCAGUUCUUGAAUUUGUUACAUGCGUUGCAUUGAUGCACACAACAUUUUAGUGUAAAUAUGUGGCAAUCUAUGAGAGAGCUGACACAGAGCAUCAAAAUUCUGAGGAAGUCGUUAGCUUAGUCAGUUUUAUAUAUGUAUGUAUAUAAAUUCAUCCGAAGAUUCUCUUUAUCAACAAAUAGAUGACAUUUAUUCCAAGGUACAUGACAUCAUGAAAUGUUUUUCAUUUCUUACAGAACAAUAAUGAAGAUUAAAAUUUACCCCUCCCCCAAUUUCAAAGGGCAACAUAGUCUUCUAAACCAUGGGGGUGAGGUUUCUUGAUGUAUAAAUGUUUUUCCUAGUCUCUUUCAUCCGAUCAUUCUUUUGGUCGAAUUGGCUAGGGCAUGCAAUUCUACAUGGUAUCAAAGAUAGGACGUCUUGAGUUCAAGACCCGGAUGGCGAAAUAAAUUUGCAACCCACUUUUGGUCCAUGUUUAGACCUCGGGGAGCCACAUAUAAGGGAGAGUGUUGACGUAUAAAUGUAUUGCCUAGUCUCUUCCAUCAGAUCGAUCUUUUGGUUGCAUUGGCCAAAGAUAUUUAGGAUGAUCCCCACAUGUUAACAAACCCAAAUAUUAAUUUUGUGAGAUAACUUUAUACAUGCAAUUCAUCGUGCGAGAUGAGUUUUUAUUGUUUUUGCACGAGGGCUGCAUUAUAAACAUUUUUGUCGGUCCUCGACUAGAAAGUUGAGGGGACCAUCACAAGUGGUUGGAUGGAAAGUUUUUUGGUUUUGAAACAACACACUACUUUACGUAGAGAUGAUUGGUACCUUUUCAGGUGCGAUAAAGAAAAGUUAUGUGGCCCCGCAAAAGGAAAAAAUGUGAUGCGCAUGGCUAUCCCAGUCCAGUGGUGUGGACCGAGGCAUGCUGGAUCGGCCGCCGCAUCGAGGCUGAUGUCGUGAUCUACUACCAAAUAAGGACCCCCCCGCUUUAUAUAUAAGGUGAUGCCAGGAGGGUGAUGCCCACAUCUAGGGUGAUACCGGAAUCAAUUUAAAGGGAUGAAGAGUCGGGCAAAAAGUAAAUACUCCCUCCUUGGGAGGGAGGGGGUGUAUGCAUUUGCUACACAAGCUUGAUGUCUACACUCUAAUUAUCAAUGUCAUGGAUCAAACACAUCCUCCAUGCAAAAGUUGGUUUGUGUGAGUGUAAUACUUUGUUCAUGUGGGUUAACGUAUGAUCUACUUCCUCCGCCCUUAAAUAAGUGGAUAGUUAAUACCUUUGUGAGAGAACAGCGAGUGACUGCAUUAAUAAAAACAGCCAAAAAGCACCAUUCAUUUUCACUUGCUAGCAAGGAGUAGCUAGCCAGUUGGACAUAUUUACAAUUAUUGAAGGGUUGACACUAACUAGCUAGGGCAUGCCCACACUUAAGCCAAGCGGACACAAUUAGAUGUAUUGACAUGACAACCGACACAUCAGUGUAACACGACACACCUAUUCACUCACCAUGCACACACACUUGCUUUUUUUGUUCUGUUUUGGAUAAAGCACUUGCUUUUUUCCCCAGGGAGUAGAUAUAUGAACAAACAAAUCACCAACAGUGGCACACAACCUGGAAAAAAUUUCUCGGCUCAAAAUGC